rnacentral:rRNA from 1 species
UACGGGGGGGGCAAGCGUUGUUCGGAAUUACUGGGCGUAAAGGGCGCGUAGGCGGCCUGCUAAGUCGGACGUGAAAUCCCUCGGCUCAACCGGGGAACUGCGUCCGAUACUGGCGAGGCUUGAAUCCGGGAGAGGGAUGUGGAAUUCCAGGUGUAGCGGUGAAAUGCGUAGAUAUCAGGAGGAACACCUGUGGUGUAGACAGCUUACUGGACCAUGACUGACGCUGAGGCACGAAAGCGUGGGGAGCAAACAGG